CCUUUGUCAUUUCAGUCCAAGCUUCUGAGCUCCGGGACCUUGCCAUGAGGUCAAAUUCCACUGAAGGCCUAGUUGAGGAACAGCAGACUGCUUGGGGAACACUGGAAUAUGAAACACAGACACUGAAGAAAGAAAAUGCAGUCCAAGCGACUCAACUGAGAAACAUGGAGGCCAAGUUGAAGGCUGCUGAAAACCAGCUGGAGCAAGUGAAGACUGUGAAUGAAGCUCAAGCUCGUGAACUGGAGGAGCUCAGUGUGAAGUCAUCUACAACUGAGGAUGAGCUGAGGCAGCACCAGACUACAGUGGUGGACUUAACAGGAAAGGUGAAGGAGAUACAACAAGAGAAUGCAGUCCAAGCUUCGGAGCUCCGGGACCUUGCCAUGAGGUCAAAUUCCACUGAAGGCCUAGUUGAGGAACAGCAGACUGCUUUGGGAACACUGGAAUAUGAAACACAGACACUGAAGACAGAAAAUGCAGGUAGGCUGAAGUGAGGGUGAAAACACUGCCUAUGGUCUGUUCCAACCAAGAUGGGUUUUGUUGUUGAUACUGGGGAUUAUUUAUGUUUUAACACUAUGAUUACUAAUAGAUAGAUGGAUAGAAAGAUAUGGCCAACUGAACAAGAUGACCAACUGAAAGAGUAGUUGUUGUCAUUUUUAGGCUGUGCACUGACUCCAGUACAAAGCAGAGGCACUAAAUGUGAAGGAAAUGUGAAGUAAGUUAUUGCUUGUGUUCAGGGAUAUUUAAGGAGCUGGUUAGCACAAACAUACCUCAAGAUC
rnacentral:lncRNA from 1 species